GCCCGACUAGCUCAGUUGGCAGAGAAUAAGACUCUUAAACUCAGGGUAGUGGGUUUGUACCCCAUGUUGGGUG
rnacentral:tRNA from 1 species